UUUCAGUAUGUGGCAUUGAAAGACCCCCGAUGGGAGACCCUCACUCAAGUCUCGGGAAUAGUGUGCACCCAGCGAGACACUGAGACCU
rnacentral:pre_miRNA from 7 species